rnacentral:rRNA from 1 species
GGGCNGUGUGCACCNNCNCUGCUNUUAAACACCUAGUAAUAGGUAUGCUUAGGGAGGAGCUUGCGUCACAUUAGUUAGUUGGUGGGGUAAAGGCCNACCAAGACUAUGAUGUGUAGCCGGGCUGAGAGGUUGAACGGCCACAUUGGGACUGAGACACGGCCCAAACUCCUACGGGAGGCAGCAGUAGGGAAUUUUCGGCAAUGGAGGAAACUCUGACCGAGCAACGCCGCGUGAACGAUGAAGUAUUUCGGUACGUAAAGUUCUUUUAUUAGGGAAGAAUAAAUGAUGGAAAAAUCAUUCUGACGGUACCUAAUGAAUAAGCCCCGGCUAACUAUGUGCCAGCAGCCGCGGUAAUACAUAGGGGGCAAGCGUUAUCCGGAAUUAUUGGGCGUAAAGGGUGCGUAGGCGGUUAAAUAAGUUUAUGGUCUAAGUGCAAUGCUCAACAUUGUGAUGCUAUAAAAACUGUUUAGCUAGAGUAAGAUAGAGGCAAGUGGAAUUCCAUGUGUAGUGGUAAAAUGCGUAAAUAUAUGGAGGAACACCAGUAGCGAAGGCGGCUUGCUGGGUCUUUACUGACGCUGAGGCACGAAAGCGUGGGGAGCAAACAGGAUUAGAUACCCUGGNUAGUCCCCGCCGUAAACGAUGAGUACUAAANCGUUGGGUAAAACCAGUGUUGAAGUUAACACAUUAAGUACUCCGCCUGAAUAGUACGUACGCNAGUAUGAAACUUAAAGGNAUUGACGGGCCCCCNCCACAANCGGUGGAUCNUGUUGUUUNAAUUCNAANGGUCCCCGAAAAACCNCCCCNGGGUUUNGACNUGCUUUCUNCAAANCUGUNAAAA